UACGUAGGGUGCAAGCGUUAAUCGGAAUUACUGGGCGUAAAGCGUGCGCAGGCGGUUAUGUAAGACAGGUGUGAAAUCCCCGGGCUUAACCUGGGAACUGCAUUUGUGACUGCAUAGCUAGAGUACGGGUAGAGGGGGAUGGAAUUCCGCGUGUAGCAGUGAAAUGCGUAGAUAUGCGGAGGAACACCGAUGGCGAAGGCAAUCCCCUGGACCUGUACUGACGCUCAUGCACGAAAGCGUGGGGAGCAACAGG
rnacentral:rRNA from 1 species